rnacentral:rRNA from 1 species
UACGUAGGGUGCGAGCGUUGUCCGGAAUUAUUGGGCGUAAAGGGCUCGUAGGCGGUUUGUCGCGUCGGGAGUGAAAUCCACUGGCUUAACUGGUGGCUUGCUUUCGAUACGGGCAGACUGGAGGUAUGCAGGGGAGAACGGAAUUCCUGGGUGUAGCGGUGAAAUGCGCAGAUAUCAGGAGGAACACCGGUGGCGAAGGCGGUUCUCUGGGCAUGUCCUGACGCUGAGGAGCGAAAGUGUGGGGAGCGAACAGG